UAAACGGAAUAGCGAGUGGCCGUACUGGUAUAGGGCCUGCACUGGUCACUGUUUUGCAUCGUUAUUAUAGUAACUUGUUAGUGUAUAACAAUUAAAACAUGAGUGUAUAUACGGAAACCCAUGUGAUGGUAGCUAUAAUAAUUAUUAAUUAUAUAAAGAGGAUGAACGUUCUGAUGAUCAAAGAGUUAUUCAAGUGUAUCUAGCCUGUAUACAUGCAUGUAAUUAUUAUAGUAGCAAUCAAACAUUUUUUUGCGCUCGCUCUCAGCACCCUCCUUACUAGCUGCAUUUCCUAGAAACACCACUGUGCUCAGAGAGGUAUAAUUAUGGUAUAGUCUGUGUUUGUAUAUAUAGACUGCUACAGCUGCUCAAGGAUCAGUGAAGUGCAAACAAGAGUUUCUAUAAUAAUUUAUAUUAGCCUCGAUCUCAGGCCAAUCCGUCUCCAAUUGAACACUAGGUCGCCUCCUCGGCCUGGUAUUGAUUGUAUCUGGGUGUGUAUCUGGGCAUGCAUGUGCUGUGGUUGCUGUGGUUGCUCAGGUAUUCGCUCAAAAAGAGCGAAUACCUGAGCAAGGUGGAGCGAAUAGAAACACUAAUAGUGUAUGUAUAAGCAUACUUACUCCGUAAAUCACCGUUAAAUCACAAAGAACUCCGUGUCAUAGGUAUAAUUAUUCUUUAGCAAGUUUAGUUUGUCAUAGAUAUAGGCUUAGCUAGAGUGUGAGGAGCUGUCUUGUGCGAAGGAAGAAGGAUCAUCACUCUUGUGAAAGAACAGACCUAUGUUCUCAAGUUUAUGCUAUCAGUUGGCUACCUUUGAUUGACUCGACUACACAAUUUAAUACAAGCGCUUGAUUAGACCAUUGAUUGCCAGAUACACUUGGUAGAGUCUAUCCUCAGACUCCGGCCAUCGAUCUCUUGUAUACUAUGCUCAGGGGUGUCUACAAGUGGCUGGGCCUGGGAUGUAUUGUCAAAGUGAGCGAUAUAAAUCAAUAAUACCAUUUCAUCAUUGGAAAUUGUACACUAUAGCCUAUAGCCCAAUCUUUGGUAUCUGGAUCAAGAUAUGACAUUAUGGUACUGGCACUGGUGUUGUGUUAGCCUCCUUCACCGGCCUUCAAGGAAGUGCGGCCUGGGAUCAAGGCUAGUUUUGUGUGGACCAUCACUGAGCAAAAUGGAACCUUCCCCUCCAACCCCCGUUGUACUGUUCCUAGCUGAUGGGUGCGAACUCAUUGAAAGAGGAUGCCCCAGUGCCACUCGUGUCCUUCCCAAGGGGGCCGAUCUUAUAGAACUACCUGCACUAAAACUACUGACGUGGAAUGGCUCUUUCAACACUUGUGGUUGCUAUCCUGACCAGUGACGUCAGGAUUCUACUGUCUCUUGAUGCACUGUGAACACACAAUCUUUGUUAUGCCACCUGAAGGCUUAGCAGGCAUAUCCAACGCAGUAUUUAUUAAGUCUUUCUGGAAGCUCUUGUUUGAGAUCUUCGCUUCUAAACAUCUGCAUUUAUUAUGGACGCAGUACUGCUGUGCAGUACACUCUACAGAUAACAGUAUUAAUUUCUAGUGUCAUUAUAUCACUGUAUUUUUAGCCAACUGUGAUAAACUGAAGAUGUUACAGUACAUAGCAUUCCUCUUGAUACUUACCAGUUUCCGGUCACGCCCAGAUAUACAAUCAAUACCAGGCCGAGGAGGCGACCUAGCGUUCAAUUGGAGACGGAUGGGCCUGGGAUCGAGGCUAAUAAUAUAUAGGCUUCUAUAGUAGCGUUUUUUUUUAUUGCAAUUUUGCGGAUUUGCAGUUAUAGCUAUAAUUAUAGGUUUAUUUACUUGGAAUGCCAUCGCAGCCUUUCAGAAGAGAGAGUAGCAAAACUCGUCCAUGGAGUGUUGCUCUCUACUUAAAGUAG